rnacentral:rRNA from 1 species
CCUACGGGUGGCAGCAGUGAGGAAUAUUGGUCAAUGGACGAGAGUCUGAACCAGCCAAGUAGCGUGAAGGAUGACUGCCCUAUGGGUUGUAAACUUCUUUUAUAUGGGAAUAAAACGUUCCACGUGUGGGAUUUUGUAUGUACCAUAUGAAUAAGGAUCGGCUAACUCCGUGCCAGCAGCCGCGGUAAUACGGAGGAUCCGAGCGUUAUCCGGAUUUAUUGGGUUUAAAGGGAGCGUAGGUGGAUUGUUAAGUCAGUUGUGAAAGUUUGCGGCUCAACCGUAAAAUGGCAGUUGAAACUGGCAGUCUUGAGUACAGUAGAGGUGGGCGGAAUUCGUGGUGUAGCGGUGAAAUGCUUAGAUAUCACGAAGAACUCCGAUUGCGAAGGCAGUUCACUGGACUGCAACUGACACUGAGGCUCGAAAGUGUGGGUAUCAAACAGGAUUAGAUACCCCAGUAGUC